AUCCAUACAAGACUACUGGAAAAACCAUAGCUUUGACUAGAUGGACCCUCAAGGCACUCCUGGAAUUGAUCAGUCACCAGAGAGAGUAGGAAGAGGCUGAGCUCCUUCAGACCAAUCAGCAGCCACCUGAGUAUUGGCUUACCCUAGUCAUCACACACAACCUCCAAUCAGCCAAUAGAAGUAGAAUGAUAGACUAGGAGGCGGGGCCUGCCUGGUCUCCACGGUGAUCUCUGGAUAGUGAAGGAAAGGCUCUAUGUAGCCUUGGUAGUACCAGAUCCAGUUGCUGUAAUGGGGUGUUUGAAGGGGCAAGGAGAGAAUUUAUGGGGUGACAGGUGUUUGAAAUUAUGUCAGAGGCGUCACCCAGCGAGGACGACAUCAUGCUGCCAUCCGUGGGCUGCUUCAUGUGUUGUCCCAUAUGCACGGUAGCCAUGUUCUACUCUUCCCAGGCUUUUGAAAUUAGGUCUAACAAGCCCCCCAGUGACCACCUCUUGCUGGCGAUCCUGGCCUAUCUCCUGUGCUGUCCUUUAGGCACUGCAGCCUUGUACUAUUCUUCCCAGACAAGGCGCCACAACCGUAGGAAUGAACGAAACUUGGCAGUCAAGACCUCCCACAAAGUCUUCAAUUUCGCUGUCUCAGCAAUUGUUUCGGGAUGCGUCAUCAUACUCCUCGCCAUGAGUGUAUUCUUAACAAUCUUAUUUACGCGGUAACUUCCUCUCCAGGUCAUGAAAAAGCAACCAAAAAAAUAUACAACAGUGUGUCUUACCUUGGCUCUAGGUGUCCACUGGGGCCAAAUGAGACUCCUGCCUCUCAGUGUCUGGCGUUCUGAGUGCUCCCAACCUGAGCCAGUACCAUGAGGUGGUUGUUGGGAGAAAGAAAGUGGUAGUUCAGGCAGCCCCUUAAACCAGAGCUCAAGACCAACCUAGGGACCCCGCCAAGAUGUGGGCCAUGGGAGACAGGGUAGCAUACUGACUCCCCACAGCAGCCUCCCCUCUGCCCACAUUCACGCAUUGAUGCCAUAAAUCUACCUAUGUUGACCAAGGACCUAGACUGUGCUGCAUGACUCUGGGGACAAAAUCUACUUAUGUUGACCAAGGACCUUGACUGUGCUGCAUGACUCUGGAGACAUAGCAGUCAUCACUUGAGAUCAAAUCUUACACCUUCAGAAUCUCAUAAUCUAGGCUGGAAGACAGACAUAUCACUAAACAGUGACAGUCCAUAGUGACCCCAUCUCUAAAGGGGAAAACUUAAAGAGAGGGAUUGUAGGAGGCUGGACCUAAUCUGGGAUACUUGUGGGUCUAUCAGAAAACCAGGGAGUCAAGCAGCUGUAAGUGAACUGGCUAGAAUUCAGACCAGGUGGAUCACAGACAGCUUCCAUGACAGUCUCCUCCCCCCACCAACACCAUUGCUUGUGAUUCAAAAGUCAACAAUACUUUCUGAGCACCUACUAUGUAUCAGGCACUAGACUGAGAAGUAGGAAGGCAACAGAGCAAAGUAAACCAGACCCCUUUCUGAUAGAGCUUAAGUUCCAGUGGAAAGAAAACCAUAAACAAAUAGACCUCUAAAUAAACAAGAUAAUUACAGGGGACAGUAAAUGCUACAGAGAAAAAUAACAGAGUAAUAAGCUAAAGCAAUAAUGUAAUGAACAUUAACAGCUGGCCAAUCAAACUGCUAAUGUUCAUUAUAAGACAGGUGCAGGAAUUGACAGUAGGUGCUUUGAAACUUAUAGCAAUUUGAUGUCAUCAUGACAUCCAAGUAUAAGGUCAAGAAUUUUGUCAGACAAAGUAUAGACCAAAAGGAUAAUCCAUGACAGAUUGAAAAUGAAAGUCGUUCAGUCAUGUCCGAUUCUUUGUGACCCCAUGGACUAUA